UCCAAGACUAAUUGCUUGAAAAAAAAAGGGGUUAAAAAUAACAUUUUUAUCGAGAUUAUCAUUCUUUUGUAAAAAUCUUGACCAAUUAAUGUUGUUUAAGCUCUAUACGAAUUUAAUAAAAGUAGUAAUUUAAUUAGGCCAGCUUAGCUGCCACCACCACCAUCUGAGGCAAGUUUUCAUUACUAAAGCAACUUUUUAAUUAAUUUAAAUACAAAACAACUAUCAAAAAGUAAUUUAAAAAAUAAAAUAUCAGGUUUCCCACAGAUCUUUAAAAGUGCUUGCAAAGGAAAGUUUACCUUGUAAAGAACUUGAAAACUCUGUAAUGCUUAAAAUGCUUAUAUUAUGAAAAAUGCUUAAAAAGUGGUUGAAUUUGGCUCCAAAGUGCUUGAAAUUUUAAAGGUCAACAGAAGAAAUCUGACUAACUGUUCAUAUUUUAUAAAGUAAUACCAUAUUAUAACAACAAAGUAAAAAAAAAAAAAAAAAAAAAAAAGUUAGAGCUAAAAAAACGAUGAUUUUGAUGAUCGGGAAUUUCCGUAACGCGUUCGGCAAUUUCCGCCGCUAUUUUACCCCGAUGACGUAUGUGUGCACCACUGCGCAUGACGAAUAUUCCCAUGUUAUGUACAGUAUGCACUGAAGCAUGCAAAUUUCCCUCAAAACUUUAAGGAUUACAAGACUGUGUUGAUCAUUCACUUGCAUAUACUUAAUUUAAUUUAUAAUCUCUUUUGUGUUGAUUACGAGUCAAACUUUUACAUGACAUUGAGGAUUUACUGAUUUAUAAGAUGGUGCAAUGUGCAGCGUUUGGCUGCAAUGCUCGUCCUGAAAAGCAAACGGAGAAGAAAGGAUUCUUCGGCUUCCCAAAGGACGAAAGUAUUAAGCGGUAAUGGAUUCUAGCCGUAAAUUAACGAAGGAUUAUCGACCGAAAGGUGGUGGACUUUACGCCAAGCAAAUAUGCAAAACUCUGCAUAAAACAUUUUGAGGAUAAGUGCUUUGUCCACCCCCCGAGUGUGAUGGCGAGUGCGGGCUUUGGGAUGAGACUGUCGCUGCAUCCUGAUGCAGUGCCAACUUUGUUCCCUGACACGGACAACUUCAAGGCAUUACAGCCGAAAGCUCUAAAGCCCGACGAGUUAGGAGCCCCCAAACGGAAACGUGACACCUAUGGUGCUUUUGCCAAGAGAAAUCGCAAAACGGCUCGAAGGCGCACAAGGAAUUACUGUUGGUCAUCGGAAGCAAGCGCCUUCUCUCUGACAUUCGCAUGCUGUCACCAGCUGAAAAGACCUCGAUGCUGGAGGCUCAACACAAGUUGGUCUGCCAAUUUGCGCCAAAAUUUGUCUGCUUUUCAUACGCAGCAAUGAAACAGAGAUUGCAUCUGGCAGCCCUGCAUUCCAUUUCUAAUGCACACAGGAAACAUGCAGAGACGAAGAACGGCGAAAAGCGCUACAGGAUUUCGUAUCCAAAGUACAAGGCGGGACACCAUGUCGUGAAACCUGUUAAAGAGGCCUGCAAUUAUGAUUAUGUCACAGAGCUCAUGGUUGAAUUGCUGCAAUUAAAACAACAGUUCAAGAGCACCCGGAUUGCUAAGCAGGCAUCUUCUUCCAUUCUGUUCUCUCCACCACCAUUAGCAUCAUUUGCGAAGAAAAUUUUAAAGAAUGAAGCAGUGCAGUUGCACCGCUCUAGGUUUAAUUAAUUACAGUACCGUAGGUUUCCACGUAUAGCGCGCAGUUUUUUACCUCCAAAAUUCUAAUUAAAAAGCUGGUGCGCGCUAUACAUUGAUACAACGCUAUCCUGGCUGCUUAAUUGGUAAAAAAUAUGUUGUGUAAUCGUAAAUAAUAAAAAUGGCCGCCAUGUUUUUUCCAGAAAGCUACCACCCUAUAAUCAGGGCUCGCUCUGUCGGUCGCCACUUGAGCCAUUUGCGAAAAUAUUGAGAAUUUGGCUCACGAAAAAUCCGAUUUUCGAAAAUGCUAAAAUCUCGUAAAAUUUCAUUGAAAACAGCCGCCAUUUUAACCCGAAACUGGUUUUCUAUAUUUUUCUCUUUGUUUCAAUGAAAGUAUUCGCAAUUUGAACAGUGAACGAAAACCGGUCUGCACCUGUAUCGAGACAUCGCUUGACCUUAUUGUUAUUGAAGUGCACAUGGUAGCUAGCCAAUCAAAACUGAGCUCGCUUACACAUGAAAUGACGUUGCUGAAUGAAACGUAAAAAUGGGUGGAGCUAUGAAUACACAGUUAAAAUUGUCAUCUGCAAACAAAAUAGCGGCCGGUCGCAAAUGUCGUAUUAUAAGAUUAAAAAUGAAAAUAAGCGUGACAAUAAAUUAAUUAUUUCCAAGCUGACUAUCGAUAAACUGUGAUAAUUAAAUAAUUAGUUCUAUGUCGUCGAUGUUACAACUUUCUGCAGAUUUUCGAUUGAAAUGAAAAGGUGAUAAUAAUUUAAUUUGAUCGUUUUACUUACAAACUAUGAUAACUAACAGCGGCGUAUUUGAAUCAAAGGAAAACGUGAAAAACAUGCGCAGUUUAAUUUAAGUAUAGUAUAAUCGUACAGACUGAGGGGCCAUUGUCGAAACAACAAGAAGUCGCUACUGGUAGAUAUGAAUGCGGUAGAAGAAGUUUUGGUCGAAAAUAAAUUUGUUUGAAUAAACUUGCGGACAUUUCUUUGUUUGUGUUUUUACACUUCUUUAUUGAUGAAUUCCGAUAGGGAUUGUUGUCGACAGUCCGGAGAGCAGGCAAAGGUAGGUGUGAAUGAGGUCUUUUUUGCGGGUAACGGUAGGUGUGAAAGGGGGUCAUUUUGCACUUCGUAAUUGGCAGAUGUUAUUGAGUAAUAUGUGCCACGACUUGUUAAGACGCUAAUUGACAUUUGAGACACUUAUUGACACUUGAGAACGUGAAGAUAUGCAAUUGCAUUUUGUGUGUAUAAUAUUGAACGUUCAACAGUGGUGUACCUCAACAACUGUAUCUCUGUCUCCCAUGCGACAUUCAAAUUUACCGGUAAUGCCCAUGCUUUCCCCGAGGAAAAAUCACACGAUGUACACUAAUUCUUAUUUUCUCACGUUUUUCACGAAAUGCACGUGGACUGUUAAUCUUUUGCUAUAAACUUACAAAAUUGUCAGAAAAGUAUAGUACUAUGCAACCCAUGCUCCUAGUCAUAAUGACGCUUCCUAUUUUGAAUGCUUAAUUAAGCUUUCCAAUGCCCCAGAUUAUUGGAUUGUGCAAUAGUAAAAUGGCGGCCAUUUUCGGUCUGAUUUGGUGGUUUAAUUGUCUUUAAAAAAAAAUUCUCCAUUUUUGCAUUUAAAAAACAGCCUGCGCGCUAUACACGGGAGCGCGCUAUACGUGGAAACCUACGGUAAUUGGAAACAACUUGGCAUGCCAUUUGUCAUGUAUUGCUCCAGCUGGGUUUAGUGUACGUGCGUAAGGUGUCAUCCCAGAUUAGCCUGUGCCAUAUAUGUUUGUAAUUAAUUUAAAAAAUCCUCGCGCUGGAAAGAUGGGGCAAAGCGUGCGCAAAAUAUCUCGUCCCAUAUUAGCCUGUGUCCCUGAUAAGACUGUGCAGACUCGACGUGAAAACAUGAUAUGCCCCAAGUUUUAUAUGACAAUGUCUACGAAUGUGCCCUUUUCACAAAUUAGAACCUAGCUGAAGCACUGAUCACGUAUUGUUUCAAAUUAACAUAGCAACUACAAUGAUUUUUUUGAAAAAUGUGAAUGUAUUAUUUUUACAAAUAUGCUGUAAUAAUACUUUUCCCAUUGUGUGCUAUACUGUUAGUAUAAAAA